UACGAAGGGGGCUAGCGUUGCUCGGAAUCACUGGGCGUAAAGAGCGCGCAGGCGGUCGUUCAAGUCGAGUGUGAAAGCCCCCGGCUCAACUGGGGAGGGUCACUCGAUACUGAUCGACUCGAAGGCAGGAGAGGGAAGCGGAAUUCCCGGUGUAGUGGUGAAAUGCGUAGAUAUCGGGAGGAACACCAGUGGCGAAGGCGGCUUUCUGGCCUGUUCUUGACGCUGAGGCGCGAAAGCUAGGGUAGCAAACGGG
rnacentral:rRNA from 1 species